rnacentral:rRNA from 1 species
CAAACCNNAANUCCUNUUGUCACCAGCANAUCCNUGACCGGGUUUUUGUUGGNGUNNAUCGCNUANCAGCCAUCGGCGGGUNUCACGGCGGCCUUACGGCUGACCGCGGGGCCGACUGCUUUAACCCAACAAACACCAAAGCAAUCAACCUGAAACAGUUUGCCGUCGACUUGAUCGGCGUUGCAACCAAACAAAUGACAACUCUCAACAACGGAUAUCUUGGCUCCCGCAACGAUGAAGAACGCAGCGAAAUGCGAUACGUAGUGUGAAUUGCAGAAUUCCGUGAAUCAUCGAAUCUUUGAACGCAUAUUGCGGUCGAGACUUCGGUCAAGACCAUGUCUGCCUCAGCGUCGGUGUGAACCCUCACUCGCCACCCUCUCCCCUGUGGAGAAGGGCAGGUGGAUCUGGCCGUGUCCCCACUCGCUUGAGAUGAACAGGCUCGGCUGAAAAUUCAGAGGUUUGAGCUUGGUCCCGCUGAUAUGGCACCAGCAAGGUAGGUAGCUUCGCUGCAUGCCAGCUGACUCGCUUUGGGACACUGUGCUACAGAAGCCCGCAGGAAUCGGAGCCAAGCUCCGAACUCUUACUUUCGACCUGAGAUCAGGCAAGGCUACCCGCUGAACUUAAGCAUAUCA